rnacentral:rRNA from 2 species
CCGGCGGUUCGCCGCCGGUGUUGUUGUGAGAAGUUCAUUAAACCUUAUCAUUUAGAGGAAGGAGAAGUCGUAACAAGGUUUCCGUAGGUGAACCUGCGGAAGGAUCAUUG